AUCUGUCUCUCUCAGCAAUUAGAAGAUCCAAGCCUUGUCCAUUCUGUAAAGCCACUGCUGUUAGGGAGUCUGUCUAGUUCUGUAAAGUGAGAAUGGAAUCGGCUAUUUCUUUGAGGCUGUCAGAAAGAUCUUGAGGGAGAAAGUGAUACUGGGUUAGUGAAGUAGUUAAACCUGCCUUGCCAGUCCCUACAGGAGCAGUGAGGCCUAGACCAACAAGCAAGGCCAUUAAGUGUAUGACUCUAUGCUGUCAGACCUGGCUGUAACGGUGACAGGCAGGCUCUGGUUUCUUGGGGCAGUAUCUGUAUUUGGGCUAAGGUACAGUGUGCAAGUGCUGGUCCAGUUAGUGGGAAGGCACAAGUAGGUGGGAAUCCCACAAAGGAAAAAGACGCGUUGGCUGGGUAAACAGAAUUGGAUGUGGAUUUAAAGUUAAAGAACAACAGAAUUGGUUGUGGAUUGGUUAAAGAGUUCCUGAUCCAAAAAGUGAGGACUGUCUUUAAACCCCUGUGGGAGAACUGUGUAAGUAUAUUACUGCUUUUCUCUUGAAAUGGGAUUUUCCGAUUCAAAGGCAAACAAACUGGGAGUCAGCUAGUCUCCUGUGCUGAGUCCUGAAGGUCACUAGAGGGCGUGUGCUCCCACCUAUCCUGACCUGAUGCAGCCAUAGAGAGAGUGCCAGAGGCCAGAGUCCAUGGAGGACAGUGCCCAACACCUCAUUCUCAGGACUGAUCACCAGAAGGUGCCUGUGUGGGCUGUGCAACGGUGAGUACAAAGCUUCCUGUCUGCAGGCUGAGUGUGGGUUGGAUGGUGGGUCUCUAGAGAACUCAGGAGAGGAAGGGCUUCAUUCAGUGGGUGUUAUUCACAGUGAGCACUGUUUCCACUGGACACCCAAGGCGCAGGUCCCCUGAGAAAAUUUCCAUACUGUGGC
rnacentral:lncRNA from 1 species